UCUAGAUCAUCUUCUACUUCAAAAUACUUUCUCCCCUUCAGGUUCUUCCUCUUCAGCUUUUCCUCAGGGUCCUGAAAUGGUUAUUCAAUAACCAAUGAGACCACGUCUCAGCGAGUCCUACCCCCUAAGACUCGAUUAAUAAACUAAUAUGCCAUACGGUUGCCUAAGCACAACACGAGUCAGAGGACUUACCUUGGCCUCAGUUCCAACCUGCAAUUCAAGGUUAAACACAAGCAUUCAAACAAUUCACGACAUCCGAUCAAGCAUUGAUCAAUCGACUAAGUCGAUUACAUGUCAGCCAGACCCUUUCUAGGUCAUUCCCACUCAUACCACGCUUUCUCAGUGGUGUACUCAUUCACCAAAUCACAUGUGUUUCUCGGGCGUCGUUUUCGCCAAUGACAUACCGAUCACCGACACCGUGCGUUCUUUAAGGCGCCGUUUUCACCAGUGAUAACCUUGAUCACCGAACCACGUGUCCUUUCUAGGGCGCCGUUUUCGCCAAGGUGACAUCGGCUAUAGACAACAUCGUGAGUUCUUUAAGGCGUCGUUUUCACCAGUGAUAUUUCCAUAAUCACCGAACCACGUUUGUCUAUAAGUCAUUUACGUGCGUUCUUUAAGGCGCCGUUUUCGCCAGUGAUACUUCCAAUCACCGAACCACGUAUGUCCAAUAACAUCGUACCUGAUUGGUCUCAGCCAAUAACAUUCUCAGUUAGCUCUCACCGUUCUCUCUACUAUAUAGCCCAUCAACGUACUGGCGCUAUAUAACCAUGCUCGGCCAUUACCAAUCAAAUACUCAAUAACAAACAAUUUGGAACAAUUCAUCAAAUUUCACAAUUUAAAUCAAUUCCAUAAAAAUUGAAGCUCAAUUAAAUAAACGGACUGCACCACGACAAUCAGCACGAAAUUCCGGUCACCGGCCAUCCCGGUUGAAUUUCCGGAAAAAUAAAUAAUUAAAUAAUUAAUUUCGAAAAAUAAAUAAAUAAAUAUUAAAAAUCCAAUUUAGGCUCAUAUUGCCUUAUUGGAACCCGAAACGGGUCGGGAAAAAUCCCGAGAUACAUUCAAUAAAUAAUAGAGCAUUUCUACUCCCUAAUAGCUAGGUCUAACCACCUAACAUGCAUCAUUAAGUCACUAAAUUAAUUGUUCUAACCUAAUCUAACCACCUAAGUGCAUGUAAUUAAAUCUAACCAACCCUAAGACAUAAUUAGCAAACUAAUAAAGCAUUAGUGAGUAAAACUCACUUGAUCAAAAGCGGGUAUCGGAACACCGCGACGGCGACGCGACGGCGGCCGAAAUCGAACUUUCGACAACACCGGCGGACUUGAACCGGGCCUUAAGCUUGGCCCAACAAAUCUCAGCCCAACUGAGAUUUGUUUCUUGCUU
rnacentral:lncRNA from 1 species